UUGGCUGUCGUCCAAUUGGCAGGACGACGGGUUCCGGCUCCGUUAAUCAAGGUUCGAGUCCUUGCAGCCCAGCCA
rnacentral:tRNA from 1 species